rnacentral:tRNA from 1 species
GAUAUAGCUCAAUGGUCAGAGUGUCGGACUCGUAAUUUGAAGGCUCGGGUUCGAAUCCUGUACUUAUAACU